rnacentral:rRNA from 1 species
CCUACGGGUGGCAGCAGUCGAGAAUCAUUCACAAUGGGGGAAACCCUGAUGGUGCGACGCCGCGUGGGGGAAUGAAGGUCUUCGGAUUGUAAACCCCUGUCAUGUGGGAGCAAAUUAAAAAGAUAGUACCACAAGAGGAAGAGACGGCUAACUCUGUGCCAGCAGCCGCGGUAAUACAGAGGUCUCAAGCGUUGUUCGGAAUCACUGGGCGUAAAGCGUGCGUAGGCUGUUGCGUAAGUCGUGUGUGAAAGGCGAGGGCUCAACCCGCGGACGGCACAUGAUACUGCGAGACUAGAGUAAUGGAGGGGGAACCGGAAUUCUCGGUGUAGCAGUGAAAUGCGUAGAUAUCGAGAGGAACACUCGUGGCGAAGGCGGGUUCCUGGACAUUAACGGACGCUGAGGCACGAAGGCCAGGGGAGCGAAAGGGAUUAGAUACCCUUGUAGUC